rnacentral:rRNA from 1 species
AGCUCCAAUAGCGUAUAUUAAAGUUGUUGCAGUUAAAAAGCUCGUAGUUGGAUUUCUGAUGGAGGCGGCGGUCCGCAGCCACUGGCAGCGAGUACCGUUUGUUUAGCUUUCAUCAUACUUGCGGUGUUUCGGCACCGCAUCGUUUACUGUGAACAAAUUAGAGUGUUUAAAGCAGGCGUUUGCUUGGAUACUUCAGCAUG